rnacentral:rRNA from 1 species
AUUGAACGCUGGCGGCAUGCCUUACACAUGCAAGUCGAACGGUAACGGGCCUUCGGGUGCCGACGAGUGGCGCACGGGUGAGUAAUACAUCGGAACGUGCCCGAUCGUGGGGGAUAACGAGGCGAAAGCUUUGCUAAUACCGCAUACGAUCUACGGAUGAAAGCAGGGGACCGCAAGGCCUUGCGCGGACGGAGCGGCCGAUGGCAGAUUAGGUAGUUGGUGGGAUAAAAGCUUACCAAGCCGACGAUCUGUAGCUGGUCUGAGAGGAUGAUCAGCCACACUGGGACUGAGACACGGCCCAGACCCCUACGGGAGGCAGCAGUGGGGAAUUUUGGACAAUGGGCGCAAGCCUGAUCCAGCCAUGCCGCGUGCAGGAUGAAGGCCUUCGGGUUGUAAACUGCUUUUGUACGGAACGAAAAGCCUUCUUUUAAUACAGGAGGGUCAUGACGGUACCGUAAGAAUAAGCACCGGCUAACUACGUG